CUUCAGAGCCCAAGCACUGGAUCACCUCCUCUGCUAACUCCAAUACAGCAGGUACAGUAACAAUGGCUACAAUCCAUGGAGCACUCUUUCAUGCCAGGCACUGGUGGCUUAAAAAUUUAUUUUGAAUGCUGCAAACGAUCUAAGCAACACUUUUAAGAUACUUUAUUGCCGUUCUUCCUUGAAGCUAGAGAACACCUUAACAAGAAUAAACCAAUAACAAAACCAAAGGCACUGUCUACAGGACGUCAAAGCAAUUGUUUAUGAAGACUUCAUGUACACAUUACCAGGAAAAGAGAUACGCGGCAUCGCUCCAACUGUUUGCUAUGAAUGAACAAAUCUCUG
rnacentral:lncRNA from 1 species